UGUCUCCUAAUUUCGAUUUAGCUAAAAUUGCUUUUAUUUGUCUGAUUAUAAGUUUACAAGGAAAGGCUUUAAUUGAUUUAUCUCCACAUGUAUUUUCUCUGUCAAAAUUUUCAAUCAACAAAUUUAAUUUCUCAUUUGCUUUUGAUUUGAUAUCUCGGAUAAAAUAUCUGCAAGAUCUUAAAUAAUGUUGUUUAAUGCACCAAAAACAAAUAACUUUAGGAGUUAUAUUCUGCCCUAUAUUAUCAACUGCCCUAUAUUUAGUCGAAUAAAUUGGGAGGGGCUCAGCUGUCUGUAUCACUCUACACUCUGUCCUAGAAGAAGAAGAAGAAGAAGGAGGACGGGGGCUGUAACAUCUGCACUUCUUUCUCUGCCUAAAGCCACAAGUCGUUUUAACCCCUUCAUUCUUGGUUUCCCUCCUUAAGUUAUCCAAGAACAAAGCUACUUCUGUCAAAGUGCUUUUUUUCUCUAGCUACCACAAUUGCAGUUGGAUCUAGAUCUUGAAAUUUUUUCACAAAUUCAUUAAUUAACUGAUCUUCAGAAAAAUCAGCAACAAGUCUAUAUGCAUUUUCAAAUUUUACAAGAAAACUAAAUAUAUCCUCCCCCUUGUGUGGUUUUAGUUUUUCCAACAUUUCAGUGUCUGCAAAAUCAUUCCCUGUUGUUAAUUUUAUUAAUUGUGUUAAUCUGUCUCGCUUAUUUCCAUAUAUUAUUUCACCAUUGUCCUCAAAUUUUACAAUCGCGGUCAGCCUACAUGCCAUUUGAGUCAGCAGCCAUAUUUGAAAUAGUCUAUUCCUUUGUACGUCAUUUAGGCUGUAUUUGUCUAAAUUAGACUCAAACAUUUCAGCAUUAGUGAAUGCAUCCACUGACGUGUCAUAAACUGGAAUACAUUUCACAAUUUUCAUUAAUUGUUCAUGGAUCUUCAAAUUAAGUUUUGCAGCUCUGUCUUGAAAUUUAUAUUUCUGCAAAUCACUCUGUGAGGAUACAUUUUCAGUAUCUAUUGGUUCUGGGAUUAGAUUCUGUGCCUGUAUUUUUCUUGUAUUAACACACACUAGCUUUACUUCAUUUCUAAGCUGGCAAAUAAGAUCAUUUCUUAGUUCAACUCUAUCCUCUAAUUCACAAACUGUUUCUGACAAUGUGCUCUCUGUUACAUUGUUACACUGUUCAUUUAAAUCUGAUUUGUCUUCUGUUAACCCAUUCAAAUCUACUUCUUUUUCUGAUGAUUCUAAAUUUUCUUGAUCUGCAUUUCGUUUACAAAUCAAUGCAUUGUAAGUACAGACUAGUUUCAUAACAUUUCUGAUCUUUUGUUUUUU